AUAUCUUUCUCGGCCUUUUAGCUAAGAUAAAGUGUAAUAUCUAUAGUUUAAUAUCUGUUAUAUGUGUGCCAUAUGUCCACUUUAAUUUUAAAAUUUAUUUUUUGUGUGGAAGGUCCACUU
rnacentral:snRNA from 1 species